UACGGGGGGGAGCAAGCGUUGUUCGGAUUUACUGGGCGUAAAGGGCGCGUAGGCGGCGCAACAAGUCACUUGUGAAAUCUCCGGGCUUAACCCGGAGCGGCCAAGUGAUACUGUCGUGCUAGAGUGCGGAAGGGGCUACUGGAAUUCUCGGUGUAGCGGUGAAAUGCGCAGAUAUCAGGAAGAACACCAAUGGCGAAAGCAGCUCUCUGGGACGGUACUGACGCUGAGACGCGAAAGCGUGGGGAGCAAACAGG
rnacentral:rRNA from 1 species